rnacentral:rRNA from 1 species
AACGAACGCUGGCGGCAUGCCUAACACAUGCAAGUCGAACGAGACCUUCGGGUCUAGUGGCGCACGGGUGCGUAACGCGUGGGAAUCUGCCCUUGGGUUCGGAAUAACAGCGAGAAAUUGCUGCUAAUACCGGAUGAUGACGUAAGUCCAAAGAUUAUCGCCAAGGAUGAGCCCGCGUAGGAUUAGCUAGUUGGUGAGGUAAAGGCUCACCAAGGCGACGAUCCUUAGCUGGUCUGAGAGGAUGAUCAGCCACACUGGGACUGAGACACGGCCCCAGACUCCUACGGGAGGCAGCAGUGGGGAAUAUUGGACAAUGGGCGAAAGCCUGAUCCAGCAAUGCCGCGUGAGUGAUG